rnacentral:rRNA from 1 species
GUGGGGAAUAUUGGACAAUGGGCGAAAGCCUGAUCCAGCCAUGCCGCGUGUGUGAAGAAGGUCUUCGGAUUGUAAAGCACUUUAAGUUGGGAGGAAGGGCAGUAAGUUAAUACCUUGCUGUUUUGACGUUACCGACAGAAUAAGCCCCGGCUAACUUCGUGCCAGCAGCCGCGGUAAUACGAAGGGGGCGAGCGUUAUUCGGAAUCACUGGGCGUAAAGCGUGCGUAGGUGGUUUUGUAAGUUGGAGGUGAAAUCCCCGGGCUCAACCUGGGAACUGCCUCCAAAACUGCAUGACUAGAGUACGGUAGAGGGUAGUGGAAUUUCCUGUGUAGCGGUGAAAUGCGUAGAUAUAGGAAGGAACACCAGUGGCGAAGGCGACUACCUGGACUGAUACUGACACUGAGGUGCGAAAGCGUGGGGAGCAAACAGGAUUAGAAACCCGGGUAGUCC